rnacentral:rRNA from 1 species
AUGCUGAAGCUGCCAGCACUGCAGAAGCUUAGUCUGAAGGUGAGCGCGUGGAUUAUGAGCACAGUUAGCGUCAGCCGCAGGGAGAUUAAAUUGGGGGACAACAAGGUUCUUAAGUUUUACCCAGAGGAUUUCUACAAGGUUUUUGGGAUUCCAUGCGGCCACCGUAGUGUGAAGGGGAGGGAUGCAAACAAAAAUCCUGAGGUUGUUCAUUUUAUAAAGACAACACUUCAGAUGAACAAAACUGGAGUACACAGCUUGAGGGCAGCUGAAGAUUUCCUGAUGCAUGACAUCAAUGAGAAUUCAAGCAAACUAGAGAAAUAUUGUUUCGAGAUCGCAUUUGUAAUCUUCGUUAUGGGUCAUGUGCUAGUUCCAACCAUGAAGCACAACUACACGACCAUUGACUUUUGGGGAGCCAUAGCGAACACUGAAUCAAUCUAUCAAUUUAAUUGGUGUGAGUAUGUCCUUCAGCACCUUCUCGAUGCAGUCAAGAAGCUUAAGAAAGACAUGAUGGCCAACAAUUUAUCGACCAACCUAACUGGUUGUCAUCUUUUUUCAGGUAUUUUUGCUUGA